CGCGCGCAGCUUGGGAAAAGCUAGUCUGAGAAGCAGAGCCUCUGCGUGUGGGCCCAAGGGGAAGAAUGGAAUGCGGAAGGGUUAUGAGUCCCCGGGGCUGAGAAAAUUGGAAUCCACAAACAAACAAACAAUCAGACCCUGGACAGAGGAGACCCACAACCUCAGACCUGGCUCUGUCUGCCCCAGGCAUUAUGCUAUCUUGUAUUUCAAAGAUGAAGACUCAAACCAGAGAAGUUAUGACCUGCUCAGGAUUAGAUGACCUUCUCUGACUUAUCUCUUUUCCCCACAUCAAUGCUCACUGUCUCAGACCUCUGUCAGGUUGUCUGGCUGGAAUCCUGCAUCCCUGGCCUCAGCUAGAAGGUCAGCUGGAUUUUGGCUAAUCUUGUCGGGAUCAGUGGAACUUGGCUCCAGCCAUGAGUUGAGUUCACAUCUCUCAUUCCUCCGUGACUAGUGGGCUGCCCAAGACAUCAUCUUCACAAGGUGGUAGCAGAAGCCCAAGAGAGCAGACCCAGCACUGAAAUGGCAUCGCUAUGUCCAGAGCACAGUGGAUCCCAUUGGUGAUUGUUUUUCGAGGAAACUGAGCAGAUGGAGGGGGAAGGCCAUUGAUAUCUGCAUGACGGACUUGGAAAGGGUCCAGAAAAAGCCAGAGGAUCCCGUGGUGAAGAUUUUCACUUCCGGCGCCCCUCACCUUUGGAUGGGUGAUGCUCCUAGCCUUCAUGUACCAGUCACCAUAUUUACUGCAGAAAUUCUCAGUCUCAUCCAUCACUAUGUGUUUGAUCUUUGAGAAUUCCCCUUGCAUGAAGGUUUUCCGGGUCACAGCUUGGCAGGUGGUUUGCUGGCUGUAAGGAUGAAGGAGAAAAUAGGGCUUCAGCCAUAUAAACAAAGGAAAUACCAUGCAUUUAUUAUUCUCUGGAUUAGCAUUAGAGACUGGUUCUCAUCUGGAGACUGAUUCACUGAUUCAAUAACUACAAAAAUGCUCUACUUACAAGUUACCUGAUAGACAGAAUACAUAAUUGCAAACCCUACUCUUUGGGGUUAUUAAGUUGAAUCUGCAUGCGAUACUUUUGAAAUGAACCCAGAGCUGGAGAACAGUCACCUAGAGGCAUAUCAUAAUUUUCGUAUGCAAAAGAGGUAUGGGCUCAUACAAGUUCCUCUAAAGAAAAUCCUAUUUCCCCACUUACUUGUAGUACAAAAGCAGAAGCCUCUUUAGAUUUUGGUAAGGAAAACAUUAAGAGGUUGCUGAGUUCCAUGACAUGUCAAGUAGGGUACCAAGUCUGCAGGGUCUUUGCCUCUAUGGAGCUACCAAUCCUACUUACUUAGCUCAAUUUUCCUUUAUAGUAUGUUUUAGCAUACGUGUGUGUGUGUGUGUGUGUAUACUUUUUUUUUUUAAAACAAACUUGGUUGUUUCUUGCCACCUCUAAUUUGGAGUCAAGUCAUAUCACCCAUCCCUGCAGAUGUGGGACUGCAUGUGCAGUCCCUGGGGCUUUACUCCCUAUGUCCUGAAUCAUAACUAUUCACGUUCCUCUCUUCCAGGUUGGACUCUGUAGACUUCUUGAAGAAAAGCAUUGAUUCUUAGUCAUCUCCGUAACCCACUCACAUUAAGUUCAUAGAUGUUUGUUGAAUUGAAUUUGUCUUUUGACUGGGGAUAUUUAAAAACUUAUACCUGGGGCUUCCCUGGUGGCGCAGUGGUUGAGAGUCCGCCUGCCGAUGCAGGGGACACGGGUUCAUGCCCCGGUCUGGGAAGAUCCCACAUACUGCGGAG